CCUACGGGAGGCAGCAGUGGGGAAUAUUGGACAAUGGGCGAAAGCCUGAUCCAGCAAUGCCGCGUGAGUGAUGAAGGCCCUAGGGUUGUAAAGCUCUUUUACCCGGGAUGAUAAUGACAGUACCGGGAGAAUAAGCUCCGGCUAACUUCGUGCCAGCAGCCGCGG
rnacentral:rRNA from 1 species